UUCUCUCUCUCUCGCUGUGUUAAGGUUAAGCAAAAGCGAGCGUCGAAACGAUGAAAGGUGUUGAUGGCGUUGUUGUUAGGGUUUGAACCACAUUGCAUUUGCGUGCUCCUUAUAGACAACCAGGUUCUCAAUUGGACUCUUCGUUAGGGUUUCGCGCUUUUUCUUUUUCUUCCAUCGCCCCCAUUCUCUUUCGAGAUCUAGGGUUUAUGCUUCCCAUAUUCUUUGCGCCAUUUUGUUUCCUUUUCAGCGAUUGUUUCAAUUUUUGUGCUCGAUUUGAAUUUUGAGGCUUACAUUGCUCACUUGGCUGUGCGCAAUAACGAUUUUGAGGAGUCUUGCGUUUCUUGCAUUCGAUUACUCGUCGCCAUAAAUUGAUGAUUGCUAUUGUGCCGUGAAAGCGGAAAAUACUGUUAGUCGCUUAAAUAUUCAACAUUUUUUUGAUAGAAAGCGAAUUCUGAACGAUAUAAGUGAAAUAAGUUGAUAGGGUAUGAGAGAGGGACACCCGUCACUGGGUUUUAUGAUAUUUUGCUUUAAAAUUUGGAGGAUAAGGCUUGAUUUGUGCUUCUGGGAAUUGGGGUUUUUUCAGAGAUUGCUGUGCGGGAGCAUAACUUGUUGUUAGAGUUGAUAUGUGCGGUUGUUGGAAUUUUAUCUUAUGGCACCAACUGUACCUAUAGAGUUUGCUGGACAGAAGGAAUCCAGAAAGUACUCUCAUUCACAAAUCAUGGGGAAAUCUAGGAAAUACUCCAAAGGUAAUGCGACUGGCUUUGUUCCUGAUUUCCGUCAUGCUGUAGAGACUAUGGGUGAAUCGGAAGGUUUGGGUAGCUUGGGAAGGGUUGAUACAGAGUUGACAGCAUCGGCAGAUUCAUGUGCACCAAAGAGGAAAUGCCUUGGUAUGAAUGCUAGUGGUUAUGGUAGUUUUGAUGUGCCGUAUCAGCAUUUCUCACUGUUGAAGAUGUCGAGUUUUGAGAGAAGGGAUUUGAAACUGAGGUUAACUUGGGAACUUGAGCAAGUAAGGGAAUUUCAGAAGAAAAUAGACAGUAUAAACCCAAACAUUGUUGGAUUGUCUCCCUCUAGUGACAUAAAGAGCUGCAGUGCUGGACAGAAGAGGCCUAAGCUGGAGAGCCAGCACAAGACGCAGGAAGUAUCAGUGCCACAUGGUAAGAAAAGGCCCUUGCCAGGGCAUAAUGGUUCCAAGACAAAGAGAAGUGUGUCUGGGCGAUUUGAAAAUGUGAAAGCUGCUGCACCUGUGUCUUCAUAUGCUGCAUUGAUGAAGCCCUGUGAGACAUUACUGAGUCGUGUAAUGUCUCACCAAUUUGGUUGGGUUUUUAACACUCCUGUUGAUGUUGUUAAAUUGAACAUUCCAGAUUAUUUCAAUGUUAUCAAGCAUCCAAUGGAUUUGGGUACUGUGAAGAGUAGAAUAACUUCUGGUGAAUAUUUGAAUCCCAUGGAUUUUGCUGCCGAUGUGCGGUUGACUUUCUCAAAUGCGAUGACUUAUAAUCCACCUGGUAACGAUGUACACAUCAUGGCAGACACCCUUAGCAAAUUUUUUGAAACAAGAUGGAAGGCCAUAGGGAAAAAAAUUCCUGUCAUUGAUUGUGUCCCAUCUGAGCCUUUAAGACCUACACGGGUGGAAAUGGAAAUUUCUGACAGAAUUCCUCCCACAAAAAAGAAGAAGUUAACACCAAAUGAUGCUAAAGUGAAGCCUGAGCCUGUUAAAAGAACCAUGACUGUUGAGGAGAAGCAUAAAUUGAGUCUAGAGUUGGAGGCAAUGCUUGGAGAGCUGCCUGAAAUCAUUGUUGAUUUCUUGAGAGAGCAAAGUUAUAAUGCAGGGCAAACCAAUGAUGAUGAAAUUGAGAUUGAUAUUGAUGCUCUUAGUGAUGAUACCUUGUUCAAACUGCGGAAGCUUCUUGAUGAUUAUAUGCUGGAGAAGCAAAGAUUUCAGGCGAAAGCUCGACAGUGUGAAACAGAGCUCCUGAAUGAAUCAGGGUUCAGCAAUUCAUCAAUGCAACCAUGUAAAGGCAACGAACAUGUUGAGGAGGAUGUGGACAUUGUUGGUGGGAAUGAUCCUCCUAUUUCGAAUUAUCCUCCAUUAGAGAUUGAAAAAGAUGGUACCAAUAGAAAUAGUAAAUGCAGUAGUUCAAGUAGCUCCAGCAGUGAAUCUGGCUCUUCAUCCAGUGGUUCGUCAGAUUCAGACUCAGGUAGUUCAUCUGGUAGUGAGUUGGAUGUGGCUAAAGCAUCAGAACCUCUUAGUGCUACCAAGGAAAAUGUUGGAUCUGGCUUGACUGAAGAUCAAAACAAAGGGGAUCCUGGCAAUUCUGAAACUGGAAAGGAUUCAACAAAUAUGGGCGGCCAAGUUGAGCAGAGUUCCCAGACUAAGCAUGUUGCUAUUGAGACAGAAAGCCAUCAAGAGGGGGAGAGUGCUGCACCUAAGAGGCAAGUCUCUCCCGAAAAGCUCUACCGUGCAGCUUUAUUAAGGAGCCGGUUUGCUGACACCAUACUUAAAGCUCAAGAGAAAGCCCUUGAAAAGGUUUGUAAAAAGGUGGGGAGUGGGGGGUUGUUAAUGUGGUAGUUGAGAUUUUAAUUUCUCACAUUAAUGGAACCUGUCUAUUGGGUUAAGCGGACAUUUGAAAAACUUUAGAAUUUGAAGUGUCUAGUUUUUGCAUCUUCCCACCAAUGGGGCAGUUCUUGUACUGCUAAGGUAUAUAUCAUCAAGUCUAGCAAUUACCAAUUUAACAUCAUUACCACCUUUCAUGAAAGUAUUGCUAACAUCAUUACAAGUUUCGAUUAGAAAUCUGCUGUGUUAACAAUAUCUUGAUCUUAGGAUGAAAAGCGGGACCCUGAAAAACUUAGGAUAGAGCGGGAAGAUCUUGAAAGGAGGCAGAAGGAAGAGAAAGCUCGAUUGCAGGCAGAGGCAAAGGCUGCAGAGGAGGCUCGGAGGAAAGCUGAAGCAGAAGCUGCAGCUGAAGCCAAAAGGAAGAGGGAACUGGAAAGAGAAGCUGCUCGUCAAGCUUUGCAAAAGAUGGAGAAAACUGUUGAUAUCAACGAGGGCAGUCAAUUUUUGGAAGAUCUAGAGAUGCUGAGUGCUGUGCAUGAUGAACGUAUGCUAAGUUUCAAAGAGGAGACAAGCCCAGAUCAUCCUCAAAAUGGAUUGGGUAGGAUCAAGCUACAGGGAAAUCCCUUAGAACAGCUAGGAUUGUACAUGAAGGCUGAUGAUGAGGAUGAGGAAGAACUGCCUCAGAGUGGUGCUGCUGGGCCAUCAAAUGAUGUGGAAGAAGGAGAAAUUGAUUGAUUUUUUCCCCCUUGAUUGUUUCAUUAUUUUGAACGAAUAUAUAAACGGUGGUCCUGGGCACAGUUGCUGGAUUUAUGAACGCAGCUUUUUCCAGCUAUGGAGUGCAGAGUAUAGCAAAGGAGUGAAGAAUGGAUUUGGUUUUGCUUCUUUCUGAUUAAAUUUGGUUUUAACUUGGGAAAUGGUUUAUGAAAAUGUGGAUAGCAAGGUCGCAGCCCCCAUUUAUUGAAGAAGGGCUUAGGUAUAUGGAUGGAAAGUUUGUAUCAAUCAGGAUAUCCAAUUUUGCUUGUAAAAUGGAGAACUCAUUUGUAACGAGUUCUAUGCCUGACCUUAAGUAGUUAGCUUCCCUCACAAUGUAAAAUAUUUUAGAGGCAAGGUAAAAUCAAUUCUUUCUAU